GGUUGCGAUCAUACCAGCACUAACGCACCGGAUCCCAUCAGAACUCUGAAGUUAAGCGUGCUUGGGCGAGAGUAGUACUAGGAUGGGUGACCCCCUAGGAAGUCCUCGUGUUGCAACAC
rnacentral:rRNA from 1 species